GCCCGGAUGGGGUAAUGGUUAUCCUUCCAGCUUGUGGAGCUAGAGAUCCGAGUUCAAUUCUCGGUCCGGGCC
rnacentral:tRNA from 3 species